rnacentral:lncRNA from 1 species
AAUUUACUAGUCUAAGUCCUGAUCCGCUGAUCUUGACAACGACAGUUGGCACGCCAGGUAGGGGACCUUUGCGCGUACAUCUCCAAGUCUCAGAUGGCCAGUCACGAUAGCAGCUUCGCUCCGGGCUCCCUGAUUCGCUUCGGGAGCCUGGACUUUCUGGCCACCGGAAAUGGGAUCGAGCUGAUCCCUGUCCAUGUCCUGCCCGCUCGUCCUGCUGCCCUCGGCACCACUGCCAGGAUGACGGCGAGCGGCCGGACGCCAGCCGGAAGGGCUUCACCAGAAGGAUGGCCCUUCGGGCUACGCAACGCCACGGGUGCUUACGGCCGCCUCCUAGCGCGGUCCUUCGCCACGUCACCCGCGAGCAACGAGCUCG